rnacentral:lncRNA from 10 species
GUUGUGCACAUGUACCCUAAAACUUAAAAGUAUAUUAAAAAAAAAACUCAAGCCAGUUUACAGAUAAAUGAUUAGAACUUAAAAUGAAGUUCAGCAAGAUUAGCGGAUAUAAAGUUGACAUACAGAAAUCAUUUGCAUUCUCAAGACACCAGCAAAAACAGAAACUUAAGUUUGAAAAAGAUACAGUGGUGGACAUCUACUUGCCCCUCCAGAUUUCCCUCCACCCUUCUCUACACUGGUGGUGCCUUGGAAGACUGGCUGGCAACUAACUGUCUGUCUUGCUCUUUGAGCUCUCAUUGGGUUUAGCUUGUGGUUGCAUCAUCAGAAGAUCCAAUGAAGGAAGAAAAGAAGAUGAGUGCCCAACCCUUUGCGGAGAUGGAUAUGCCAAGAAGAGAAAUUUAUAGCAGGCUGCCUGCUUUGCUCCAUUCCAGAUCAAUUUACACAGAACACCCAGAGGGCAGGUUUACGCCUUCUCUCCAUUUCUCUCAAACAGUGAUGGCAAUGAGUGGAGUACUAGAGACAACAUAGAUAUGCAACCACGGGAUAAAUGACCAAAGGACAGAGAGACGAGCGACCUCAGUUGUAUGAUGGAACCAAGAGAAGUCGCUGAUUUUUAGUUGUUUUGAUCUGGUUGUAAGGAUGGGGUGACAACUUCCAAGCUUUUACACGUCAGCACUGAAACUGCAAGUCCCAUUUGUUAUUAAUCUUUAAGCAGACAUAUUGCUACAGAAGACGGACUCCAAAUUAGAAUAACACAAAG